rnacentral:rRNA from 1 species
UGAGGAAUAUUGCGCAAUGGGCGAAAGCCUGACGCAGCGACACCGCGUGAAGGAUGAAGGCUUUAGGGUCGUAAACUUCUGUUAAGUGGAAGAAAAAAGUGGUCUUAAUACGGCCGCUCUAUGACGGUACCACUAGAGAAAGCACCGGCUAACUUCGUG